CAGUAGAUAACCUCGAAAAAUGGUAAACUGUACAAAAUAAAAAGAUAAAGUUGAUGACCUGUUCAUUUGUGAAUCAUUAUUUAAAUACGUUAAUUAAAAAAAGUUUAUUCAGAUCGAGAUAAUUAAAUAAUAGAGUAAAUUAACGAUCAUCCGAUGCUUUAACGUUAACAUUGACUUUGUCUAUUGAUUCAGAUGAAAUUGAUUUAAUUGUGACUAAUUCGAUGCGAUUAAAGUGACGAUUAACAUUAAUCAAUUGGGAUAAUCUUGAUAAUCGUUUUGUAUAAAAACAAGAGUGUUAAGUUGAUCAUUAUCACUUUUAAUCAUCAACUGAUUUAUUAACAACUAAGAAAACAGUUUUGUCUUUUUUUAAAAUAACGAUUAACAACUUUAAGCUUAAUCAUUUCUACAAAGUUCAAAGUUAUGUCGUUUCUGAGCUUCAGCGUUUUCAACCAAUUGCUUUCCCUUAUUUAUACAAUAAUCUACAACACUUGACCAACUAUGUCCACCUCUCAUGAUUUGGAUUUACCAGCUUUCUACUUUGAUCCUCUCAUUAAUCCAAUAACCCACAGUCGAGUUUCAGUUAAAACAAUUGAGCCCAUUCCUGAUGAUGAUAAAUUAGAUUAAAUUGAAUAUUGGAAAUAAUAGAAAAUUUCUAACAACUUUUGUGUUUUAUAAAAAUAAAAUCUAAUGGCUCAUAAGCCACUGAAAAGCAUCAUGUUGAUGAAUUUGUAUCAUGUUCAUUAUUUCAACAAAAGGAUCUCUAAGUCACAUAACUUUAUUUGAUUUUUUAAAAGGGUCAACACGCGUCAAGAUUUAAUGAUUAUAUUGGCAACGGAAAAGUCAUUUAGAUUACAGUGUAAUAGAAUUAUCGAUUUGAAUAAAAACACUUGAGAAAUUCUCAUAA